rnacentral:rRNA from 1 species
GGUGAACGCUGGCGGCGUGCCUAACACAUGCAAGUCGAGGGGCAGCAUAGGGUAGCAAUACUCUGAUGGCGACCGGCAAACGGGUGAGUAACGCGUAUGCAACCUACCCUGUACAGGGGGAUAACCCGGAGAAAUUCGGACUAAUAUCCCGUAAUAAUAUCCGGAGGCAUCUUUGGAUAUUUAAAGUUUCGACGGUACGGGAUGGGCAUGCGUAACAUUAGCUGGUUGGUAAGGUAACGGCUUACCAAGGCUAUGAUGUUUAGGGGUCCUGAGAGGGUGGUCCCCCACACUGGUACUGAGACACGGACCAGACUCCUACGGGAGGCAGCAGUGAGGAAUAUUGGUCAAUGGGCGGAAGCCUGAACCAGCCAUCCCGCGUGAAGGAAGACAGCCUUACGGGUUGUAAACUUCUUUUCUGUUUUGAAGAAUAAGCCCGUUGAGACGGGUGAUGCCGGUAGGACAGGAAUAAGCAUCGGCUAACUCCGUG